rnacentral:rRNA from 1 species
UACAGGGGGUGCGAGCGUUACUCGGAAUUACUGGGCGUAAAGCGCACGUAGGCGGCUUGGUAUGUCGGGUGUGAAAUCCCCGGGCUCAACCUGGGAACUGCAUCCGAAACUGGCUUGCUAGAGUAUGGGAGAGGGAAGUGGAAUUUCCGGUGUAGCAGUGAAAUGCGUAGAUAUCGGAAGGAACACCAGUGGCGAAGGCGACUUCCUGGACCAAUACUGACGCUCAGGUGCGAAAGCGUGGGGAGCAAACAGG